GACGAACGCUGGCGGCGUGCCUAAUACAUGCAAGUCGAACGCAGUGGGGACGGGUGAGUAACACGUGGGUAACCUCCCAUCAGAGGGGAUAACACUUGGAAACAGGUGCUAAACCGAUACUGAUGGAUGGACCCGCGGUGCAUUAGCUAGUGGGUGAGUUAACGGCUCACCAAGGCCACGAUGCAUAGCCGACCUGUGAGGUGGUGCGUCCACACUGGGACUGGGACACGGCCCAGACUCCUACGGGCGGCAGCAGUAGGGAAUCGUCGGCAAUGGGCGAACGUCUGACCGGGCAACGCCGCGUGAGUGAAGAAGGUUUUCGGAUCGUAAGACUCUGUUGUUAGAGAAGCGGUAUCUAACCAGAAAGCCACGGCUAACUACGUGCCAGCAGCCGCGGUAAUUC
rnacentral:rRNA from 1 species